GGCGGCACAAGAAUGGACCAGAAUCAAAUUGCAGUGAAAACCCACUAAGGUGGGUGCUUUAUUUUUCUUUGUACAGCAAAAUAAAGAGUGCAGCGUUGUAGCUCCCUCGUGGCGUGGCUAGUGUGCAGGGUUGGUUUAGGUACUGGGGAAUUCAGCUGGGUAGGCGAGGUGCAGUAGAGGGGCUCACCGGUGUAGUUGGGCAAGGAGGGGACAGGAGACCUCGAGUUCCAGUGGGGAUCCAUUCAGCUC